rnacentral:rRNA from 1 species
CCAGGUUGAUUCUGCCUGACGUAGACGCUAUUCCCUAAGAUUAACCCAUGCAUGUUUUUGACAUUUGAAAAAUGGACUGCUCAGUAAUACUCACUUUAUUUUAUGUAUAUUUGAAAUUAACUACGUUAAAGUGUAGAUAAGAUGUGUACAGUAAGAGUGAGACCUAUCAGCUAGUUGUUAAGGUAAUGGCUUAACAAGGCAUUUACGGGUAACGGUAUUACUUUGUAAUAUUCCGGAGAAGGAGCCUGAGAGACGGCUACUAAGUCUAAGGAUUGCAGCAGGGGCGAAACUUGACCUAUGGAUUUUAUCUGAGGCAGUUAUGGGAAGUAAUAUAUUAUUGUUUCAUAUUGUAAAAGUAUAUGAGGUGAUUAAUUGGAGGGCAAAUCAAGUGCCAGCAGCCGCGGUAAUACUUGUUCCAAGAGUGUGUAUGAUGAUUGAUGCAGUUAAAAAGUCCGUAGUUUAUAAUUAAGAAGCAAUAUGAGGUGUACUGUAUAGUCGGGAGAAAGAUGAAAUGUGACGACCCUGACUGGACGAACA